AUCUCUUCCCUGGAAAAAUAUAGAGGAAUGGCGAAGAAGAACACCGGUGGACCUUCAUCUUUUUCCUCAUCAAAACAAAAAGAUAAAACUGAGCCGCUUCUUUUGCUUUUCACUUGAGCACACAAAUCUCCUUUCAGAUUACACUGCAUUCCCCUUAAAAAUACAGUAACGAAAGCUUUUUUUUUAGAAUUGAAAGUAGC
rnacentral:lncRNA from 1 species